rnacentral:lncRNA from 1 species
GUGGCAAAGUGGUACUCAUACUUAUUUGUUUCCUACUUCAUUGGGUUAUCAGCACAAGAGUCAAUUACACCAUCAUCCUGGAGUGUGCUUAUAUGUUUCAACUUCAUCAGGAUCAAUGCAUCAUUAACUGGAUUUUCUAAAAGACAUUCAAGAUUUUUGUGCAUCCUUUUAUUUUUUUAAGUUUUACUGACAAAAGCUCUUGGCACCUUCCAACCAUGGC